GACGAACGCUGGCGGCGUGCUUAACACAUGCAAGUCGAACGCUGAACCCGCUUCGGUGGGGGUUGAGUGGCGGACGGGUGCGUAACACGAGGGCAUCCUGCCCCCGGCUCUGGGAUAGCUCCAAGAAAUUGGGGCGAAUACCGGAUGUGACCGCUGGCCGCAUGGUCUGGUGGUGGAAAGGGUUUCCGGCUGGGGUUGGGCCCGCGGCCUAUCCGCUUGUUGGUGGGGUAGUGGCCUACCAAGGCGACGACGGGUAGCCGGCCUGGGAGGGGGACCGGCCACACUGGGACUAGGGCAGGGCCCAGACGCCAACGGGAGGCAGCGGUGGGAAGAAUGCCGCAAUGGGCGGAGGCCGGACGCAACGACGCCGCGUGGGGAAUGCCGGCUUUCGGGUUGUAAACCGCUUUCAGCGGGAACGAACCGCAAGUGACGGUACCUGCAGAAGAAGCACCGGCUAACUACGUG
rnacentral:rRNA from 1 species